rnacentral:rRNA from 1 species
AUUGAACGCUGGCGGCAUGCCUUACACAUGCAAGUCGAACGGUAGAGGGGCAACCCUCGAGAGUGGCGAACGGGUGAGUAAUGCAUCGGAACGUGCCCAGUAGUGGGGGAUAGCCCGGCGAAAGCCGGAGUAAUACCGCAUACGACCUCAGGGUGAAAGCGGGGGACUCGCAAGAGCCUCGCGUCAUUGGAGCGGCCGAUGUCAGAUUAGGUAGUUGGUGGGGUAAAGGCCCACCAAGCCGACGAUCUGUAGCUGGUCUGAGAGGACGACCAGCCACACUGGGACUGAGACACGGCCCAGACUCCUACGGGAGGCAGCAGUGGGGAAUUUUGGACAAUGGACGAAAGUCUGAUCCAGCCAUGCCGCGUGCGGGAAGAAGGCCUUCGGGUUGUAAACCGCUCUUGUCAGGGAAGAAAUCUUCUGGGCUAAUACCCCGGGAGGAUGACGGUACCUGAAGAAUAAGCACCGGCUAACUACGUGCCAGCCGCCGCGGUAA